CACCAAGGCUAAGACGGGUAGCUGGUCUGAGAGGAUGGUCAGCCACACUGGGACUGAGACACUGCCCAGACACCUACGGGUGGCUGCAGUCGAGAAUCUUUCGCAAUGGGGGAAACCCUGACGACGCGACGCCGCGUGGAGGAUGAAGGUCUUCGGAUUGUAAACUCCUGUCAGCUGGGAGGAAUAAGCAACUGGCUAAUAGCCGGUUGCCGUGACAGUACCAGCAGAGGAAGCCACGGCUAACUCUGUGCCAGCAGCCGCGGUAAUACAGAGGUGGCAAGCGUUGUUCGGAUUUAUUGGGCGUAAAGGGUCCGUAGGCGGUCUGGAAAGUCGGGUGUGAAAUCCCACAGCUCAACUGUGGAACUGCAUUCGAAACUUCCAGACUCGAGUGUGAUAGGGGUAAAGGGAAUUCCCGGUGUAAGAGUGAAAUCUGUAGAGAUCGGGAGGAACACCAGUCGCGUAGGCGCUUUACUGGAUCACUACUGACGCUGAGGGGCGAAAGCCAGGGGAGCAAACGGGACUAGAUACCCCGGUAGUCCUGGCCGUAAACGAUGGACACUAGGUGUUGGGAGGGUUAAACCUUUCGGUGCCGAAGCUCACGCAUUA
rnacentral:rRNA from 1 species